UUCCUGGCUCAGGAUGAACGCUAGCUACAGGCUUAACACAUGCAAGUCGAGGGGCAUCAGGAAGAAAGCUUGCUUUCUUUGCUGGCGACCGGCGCACGGGUGAGUAACACGUAUCCAACCUGCCCUUUACUCGGGGAUAGCCUUUCGAAAGAAAGAUUAAUACCCGAUAGCAUAAUGAUUCCGCAUGGUUUCAUUAUUAAAGGAUUCCGGUAGAGGAUGGGGAUGCGUUCCAUUAGGUUGUUGGUGAGGUAACGGCUCACCAAGCCUUCGAUGGAUAGGGGUUCUGAGAGGAAGGUCCCCCACAUUGGAACUGAGACACGGUCCAAACUCCUACGGGAGGCAGCAGUGAGGAAUAUUGGUCAAUGGGCGCUAGCCUGAACCAGCCAAGUAGCGUGAAGGAUGAAGGCUCUAUGGGUCGUAAACUUCUUUUAUAUAAGAAUAAAGUGCAGUAUGUAUACUGUUUUGUAUGUAUUAUAUGAAUAAGGAUCGGCUAACUCCGUGCCAGCAGCCGCGGUAAUACGGAGGAUCCGAGCGUUAUCCGGAUUUAUUGGGUUUAAAGGGAGCGUAGGUGGACUGGUAAGUCAGUUGUGAAAGUUUGCGGCUCAACCGUAAAAUUGCAGUUGAUACUGUCAGUCUUGAGUACAGUAGAGGUGGGCGGAAUUCGUGGUGUAGCGGUGAAAUGCUUAGAUAUCACGAAGAACUCCGAUUGCGAAGGCAGCUCACUGGACUGCAACUGACACUGAUGCUCGAAAGUGUGGGUAUCAAACAGGAUUAGAUACCCUGGUAGUCCACACAGUAAACGAUGAAUACUCGCUGUUUGCGAUAUACAGUAAGCGGCCAAGCGAAAGCAUUAAGUAUUCCACCUGGGGAGUACGCCGGCAACGGUGAAACUCAAAGGAAUUGACGGGGGCCCGCACAAGCGGAGGAACAUGUGGUUUAAUUCGAUGAUACGCGAGGAACCUUACCCGGGCUUAAAUUGCAGUGGAAUGAUGUGGAAACAUGUCAGUGAGCAAUCACCGCUGUGAAGGUGCUGCAUGGUUGUCGUCAGCUCGUGCCGUGAGGUGUCGGCUUAAGUGCCAUAACGAGCGCAACCCUUAUCUUUAGUUACUAACAGGUUAUGCUGAGGACUCUAGAGAGACUGCCGUCGUAAGAUGUGAGGAAGGUGGGGAUGACGUCAAAUCAGCACGGCCCUUACGUCCGGGGCUACACACGUGUUACAAUGGGGGGUACAGAAGGCAGCUAGCGGGUGACCGUAUGCUAAUCCCAAAAGCCUCUCUCAGUUCGGAUCGAAGUCUGCAACCCGACUUCGUGAAGCUGGAUUCGCUAGUAAUCGCGCAUCAGCCACGGCGCGGUGAAUACGUUCCCGGGCCUUGUACACACCGCCCGUCAAGCCAUGGGAGCCGGGGGUACCUGAAGUACGUAACCGCAAGGAUCGUCCUAGGGUAAAACUGGUGACUGGGGCUAAGUCGUAACAAGGUA
rnacentral:rRNA from 1 species